rnacentral:rRNA from 1 species
GAAUUCGAUUCUCCUGGAAACGGGUGGUAAUGCCGGAUGCUCCACAUGAUCACAUGUGAUUGUGGGAAAGAUUUAUCGGUAUGGGAUGGGGUCGCGUCCUAUCAGGUAGUUGGUGGGGUAAUGGCCUACCAAGCCUACGACGGGUAGCCGGCCUGAGAGGGCGACCGGCCACAUUGGGACUGAGAUACGGCCCAGACUCCUACGGGAGGCAGCAGUGGGGAAUAUUGCACAAUGGGCGCAAGCCUGAUGCAGCGACGCCGCGUGCGGGAUGACGGCCUUCGGGUUGUAAACCGCUUUUGUUAGGGAGCAAGCGCAAGUGAGUGUACCUUUCGAAUAAGCACCGGCUAACUACGUGCCAGCAGCCGCGGUAAUACGUAGGGUGCAAGCGUUAUCCGGAAUUAUUGGGCGUAAAGAGCUCGUAGGCGGUUUGUCGCGUCUGGUGUGAAAGUCCAUCGCUUAACGGUGGAUCUGCGCCGGGUACGGGCAGGCUAGAGUGUGGUAGGGGAGACUGGAAUUCCCGGUGUAACGGUGGAAUGUGUAGAUAUCGGGAAGAACACCAAUCACUAGUG